rnacentral:rRNA from 1 species
CGUGUAGGCGGUUUUGUAUGUCUGGCGUGAAAGCCCCGGGCUCACCUCGGGAAGUGCGUUGGAAACUGCAAGACUAGAGUCCCGGAGAGGAAGGUGGAAUUCCAGGUGUAGCGGUGAAAUGCGUAGAUAUCUGGAAGAACACCGGUGGCGAAGGCGGCCUUCUGGACGGUGACUGACGCUGAGACGCGAAAGCGUGGGGAGCAAACA